rfam:Rattus norvegicus chromosome 2, whole genome shotgun sequence.
GGGGAUUUAGCUCAGUGGUAGAGCGCUUGCCUAGCAAACGCAAGGCCCUGGGUUCAGUUCCCAGCUCCG